GAGGCCAAAGUCUCUGGCACAAACCUGGUGAAUGCAGCUAGACUUUGAAAUUAUUUUGUUCAGUGGUCUUUUGUUCACCCACGUCUGGUGAUAUCAUCACCUACAGUUACCUGGGCCUCCAGAAGAAGGAUAUAUAUAUAGGUGCUUGUAUGCAAUUCCCUGUACAGCAUAACAGGGCAGUGGCUGCUCAGAGUCCUGCUGUUCACUCCAAGGCCAGGGGUUAAGGAUAUCCUGCUGAAACUAAUGCAGUCCAGCCAGGCUCUUGGCACUCGCUAACAUAGAAGGUACACUUGAAAACAAUCAAAGAAAAUGAUGAGGAUUUGCUUCUGAUGUAAAGACGUAUCCCCCUGACAUCGCAGUGAAGAAUGAAUGUUUCUCCCUACAAAAAUCACAGGGAAGUGUUUGCAUCAGAAAUGAAGCAAAUUAUUUUCUGCUCCAAAACAUAAACAAACACAGACUGACAAUUUUCAUUUGGGAGCAAGUAACUUAUGGAAUGACAUGGAAAUGCAUGGUUUAUAGGUAAUUCUUAUACUACUACUGCUCUACAACUACUUCUAGCAGUCCCAUUAGCUUAAUUACUCUUGA
rnacentral:lncRNA from 1 species